UUCCCCGCACAAAAUUUCAUUUUUAAAGCUGCAAAGGGUAAGGGAAGUUUCCUGCAUUCGCGUUGGACUUAUCAGUCACAAUAGCAUUAAAGGAAUAUUCAGUUUCGUAGCCUAAAGAUAAAGAAAUUUGUGAAAUUAUCAAAUUAUUUCCGAUUUCCGAUUUCUGAUUUGGGAAUUUCUCGUUUUUGAUUUCUGAUUGUGAAUCAGAGAUGGGUUUAGGCUUAUCAGUCUUAAUAGCUAUGAAGGCAACGGCAUGGAUGUUAUUAUAUCUCUUCUUCAGUAGAUUUGGGUUCACAGUGUUGGCAAUACCAUUGUUGUAUGCAUCAUUGAUUUCAUGGCUUGUUUCAAUUGCUUCUCACCCUUCAAUCGAUCUUCCCAUGCUUUUGGGCAAAAACCCAGAUGGGACUUUCCCAAUUUUGUCCACUAUCAUGUUCUCCCCAUAUCUGUAUUUUAAUAGAGCUUUUUCAAUGGCGAGAAGGUUCCUUACUGGUGACGAACCUUACUCUCAAAUAUGUGAGGGUUUAUAUGUUGGUGGUUGGCCUGCUUCACCUCGUUUAUUGCCGCCUGGUAACCCUGCCAUUAUUGAUUGCACAUCUGAAUUCCCAAGAAUAAAGGAGUUCAAGGGUCAUUCAUAUUUAUGUGUUCCUACUUGGGACACAAGGGCACCUCAGCCAGGCCAGAUAGAAUCAGCUGUGAAGUGGGCAUGUCGAAAGAGAGCUCGAAAUCAGCCUGUUUACGUCCAUUGUGCUUAUGUAUCCAAACUGAAGAGGCUACUGGAUCCUGGUUCAAUUGGUUUGACUGGCUGGUCCUGUCUGGUUUUCUAUUCACUGCAUUUAUGAUAGAUUUAACCUGCUCAAUCAUCAAUUCAGCUUCAGGAGGCCUACUACCACCAAUUCAUUUUUUUAGCCAUGGUCGAAGUGUUGCUGUGAUGUGUGCAUUACUAGUGGCUUUAGGCGUUGUGGAAAACUGGAAAGCCGCUGAAAAAUACAUACGAGAGAGGCGGCCUUGUAUUAAAAUGAACUCUCUCCACUACAAAGCUUUAGAAGAAUGGUCUAGUUCUAGACUAUCUUCUCCUAAGAGAAAUGAAGAACUGGAUGUAAAUUCAGUUAGUCAGUCAAACUCCUCUGGUAACACAAAGGCUUCAAUGGUGGAAAACAAAAUUGAUUGAUAUUUUUGAAAGUAGUCUUGGUCAUUAUUUCCUAAUUGACAUUGUCAAUGGUUGUAGUUUGUGCUCGUCCUUGUUAUGUGCUGCUUAAAGCUCCCAUGGAUAUCGUAUAUAGUAAUGGUAUGAUAUUCUUAAGCUAUGUAAUUUUGGCUUGGGUAUGAUUGUCACACACGAAUAUGUGCUCGACAUGGAUAUAUUCAAUUUUUUCACGUGCUUUCAUAUAUUUAGUGGAUCAUAUCUCUAUAUCCAUGUCCGAAUACACGCCUGACAUGAAUAUUUCAAUAAAAAUGAAAAGUUGGAGCUUAAAAUAGUUUCAAAGCUCCAUCCUUGUUUGACUUUUGAAGUCAGGUUCUCUGGUUCACUGUUUAUUGAUAUGCUUUGGAAGUCUCUGUUUGAUGUAA